GCCAGCGGCAGUGCAGCAUAGCUACGUACGGACGGGAUAACCGCUGAAGGCAUCUAAGCGGGAAACCCCCCUUAAAACGAGACCUCCCUUGAGGGCCGUGGAAGACGACCACGUCGAUAGGCCGGGGGUGCAAGCGCGGCGACGCGUUGAGCCGACCGGUACUAAUCGCCCGAUUGACUUGAUCG
rnacentral:rRNA from 1 species